rnacentral:rRNA from 1 species
GAUGAACGCUGGCGGCGUGCUUAACACAUGCCAGUCGAACGAUGAAGCUCAGCUUGCUGGGUGGAUUAGUGGCGAACGGGUGAGUAACACGUGAGUAACCUGCCCUUAACUCUGGGAUAAGCCUGGGAAACUAGGUCUAAUACCGGAUAGGAGCGCCUACCGCAUGGUGGGUGUUGGAAAGAUUUAUCGGUUUUGGAUGGACUCGCGGCCUAUCAGCUUGUUGGUGAGGUAAUGGCUCACCAAGGCGACGACGGGUAGCCGGCCUGAGAGGGUGACCGGCCACACUGGGACUGAGACACGGCCCAGACUCCUACGGGAGGCAGCAGUGGGGAAUAUUGCACAAUGGGCGAAAGCCUGAUGCAGCGACGCCGCGUGAGGGAUGACGGCCUUCGGGUUGUAAACCUCUUUCAGUAGGGAAGAAGCGAAAGUGACGGUACCUGCAGAAGAAGCACCGGCUAACUACGUG